CCUGAAUAGGAUUAUCAUUUACAGAACUGGAAAAAAAAUAUAGAAGGCUAAAACACAGUGAAGCAUCUUGCCUUACCCACUGCCUCUCUGUGUCUGCUUGUUCUUCUGACCUGCAGAUAAGGGUGAUGGGGUUGAAGCAACAGGAUGAGAGAUCUCAACCAUGUUGCUAAAUAUUUUAGUCUGACAAAACUAUAUGGCUUCCUUUAUCAAGACAGCUGUGUUUUUACAUAAAUAAUCUUAAUUUGGCCUGCUUAAGGAUUAUGCCUUGUACCCAAGGGCACAACCUUGAAAGGUCACCUUGACUUCCCCAAGGAGUUCACUUCAAGGCAUUCAGGAUGCCAGCCCAGAAAGCCUCACAGACUGAGGGAAUACCUAUAGAUGACCCUUCAUAUAAUGAAAAUUUUGAAGAUGUGCUCUUAGGACUAAAUGCUGAAAAAUUAAUUAAAUAUGGUCCUGUGUCCUGUAACUACAGUCUUCCAUAUCCUGUGCGUUGGCUAGG